CCCAUGGCGUAGUGGUCACUGCGCUCGCCUUGCACGCGGGAGACCCGGGUUCGAUUUCCGGUGGG
rnacentral:tRNA from 1 species